AUGUGCAAGGCCAUGAUGAACAUUUGGAAGCGCAACACAGAGACCAUGGGCAUCCUGCUGAACACGGCCGAGUUGUUGGAGAGUCGUGCCGUGCAGUCUCCCAGGGGCCCACUCUGCGUUCCCGAAAGGAUCCUGCUUCUGAUCUACUGCGUUGGUCCAUCGGACGGCAAGGGCACCAAGGAUGAAGGCAGAGCAAAGAGGAACGAAUGCCUCGAGUGGCUCGACGCAUUGCCCGACCGCAGCAUUGUGUUCCUUUGUUCCGUGAGCAAGGGCGCGCUCUCGGCGGAGCAGCUGAAGGAGAUAGCCGUUGGCAUGGAGAGGUCAGGGCAGCGGUUCCUAUGGUCCGUGCGCACACCUGCUGGAAGCGACAGCCCGGAGAAACACUUGAAAGUGGGCCCUGAGCCGGAUCUUGGCGUGCUCCUUCCUCAAGGGUUUUUAGAGCGGACCAAGUGGAGAGGCCUGGUCGUCAAGUCGUGGGCACCACAGAUGGACGUGCUCAGCCAUAGGGCAACCGGUGUGGUCCUGACGCACUGCGGCUGGAACUCGGUGCUGGAGGCCAUUGUGGCUAGGGUGCCGAUGUUGUGCCUGCCACUAGAAGCGGAGCAGAAGAUGAACAAGGUGUCUAUGACAGAGGACAUAGGUGUCGCUAUGGAGCUGGAGGGAUACAUGAGAGGUUUUAUCAAGGAAGAUGAGGUGGAGGCCAAGGUGCGGCUGGUAAUUGAGGGCGAAGAAGGGAGGCAGCUCAGGGCCCGGGUAGCUGCUCGCAGGGAGGAGGCCGAGGCGGCCCUGGAAGAAGGUGGCCCGUCUCUGGUGGCGUUUGCCCAGUUUCCGUUGGAUGUGGAUAGUCUUGGAAAGCAGCUCGGGGAAUGA
rnacentral:rRNA from 1 species